GUGCUUGCUUUGGCAGCACAUAUACUAAAAUUGGAAUAAUACAGAGAUUAGCAUGGCCCCUGCUCAACGAUUACCCACAAAUUCAUGACGUGUUUGAUAUUUUU